rnacentral:tRNA from 1 species
GUCUGUAUAGUUAAGGGGUUUAACACGGGUCUUGUAAACCCGCGACCGUGGUUCAAAUCCACGUGCAGACA